rnacentral:rRNA from 1 species
AAACAAGUAUUAAAGGUCCCGCCUGCCCAGUGAAGCAUUUUAAACGGCCGCGGUAUCCUAACCGUGCAAAGGUAGCGUAAUCACUUGUCUUCUAAAUAAAGACUAGUAUGAACGGCUAAAUGAGGACAAACCUGUCUCUUACAGCUAAUCAGUGAAACUGAUCUUCCAGUACAAAAGCUGGAAUAAACACACAAGACGAGAAGACCCUGUGGAGCUUAAAACUACCCGCUAAAAAACACCUAAAGUGCACCUAGCCAUAAGUUUUGAGUUGGGGCGACUUCGGAACAAAACAAAACUUCCGAGCACAGAACCACCACUUCUCACCAAGGCCCACAAGCCAAGACAUAAACCGACCCAGUCACACUGAUCAACGAACCAAGUUACCCCAGGGAUAACAGCGCUAUCUUCUUCAAGAGUCCCUAUCGACAAGAAGGUUUACGACCUCGAUGUUGGAUCAGGACACCCAAAUGGUGCAGCCGCUAUUAAAGGUUCGUUUGUUCAACGAUUUACAA